rnacentral:rRNA from 1 species
AACGAACGUUGGCGGCGUGGAUUAGGCAUGCAAGUCGAACGAGAACCGGGUAGCAAUACCCGGGGAAAGUGGCGAAAGGGGCAGUAAGGCGUGGGUAACCUACCCCGGGGACGGGGAUAGCCUUCCUAACGGAAGGGUAAUACCUGGCGAUUCGGCGAGGGGACAUCCUCUUGCCGGGAAAUGAAUUUCGCCUCGGGAGGGGCCCACGUGAUAUUAGCUAGUUGGUGAGGUAACGGCUCACCAAGGCCGAGAUGUCUAGCGGGUGUGAGAGCACGACCCGCGCCACUGGCACUGAGACACUGGCCAGACUCCUACGGGAGGCUGCAGUCGAGGAUCUUUGGCAAUGGGCGCAAGCCUGACCAAGCGACGCCGCGUGUGCGAUGAAGGCCUUCGGGUUGUAAAGCACUGUCGAGGGGGAGGAAGCCGAAAGGUUGACCUAUCCCUGGAGGAAGCACGGGCUAAGUUCGUGCCAGCAGCCGCAGUAAUAC